CUAAAAACCCCACACUUGCUUUCAGCAAUUUGGGCAGCAGCUCCGAGAAACCAGGUCCUGGGUUGGGCCAGUCUCCUGCUGCCUCUUCCUUUGGCUCAGCAGGGACUCCUUACACACCCCCACUUGUUUCCUGCCACAGAGGGCAGGAGGAACUGACCCAGAGCAAGCUCUAGAAGGAAGAGGGGAACUUCUCCCUGAAGUGCAAUGAGGCGGGGAGAGCAAGCAAGCGAGCAUCUGCUUGGAGGGUAAAGGCCUGCCACCCUGCUCAUGGAGCCACGCUUUCUGCCCUGGCUUCUGGAAGUCACAAGACGGAGAAAAUGGAGACAUCCAGUUGACAGAAAUACAAGGAGAAAUGGCUGACUCCCUGAUUGUCAGGACACCUCUCCACUACUCAGUCCAUGCUGCCUCGCCUCGUGGCUCCUUCUGAAGGGUUCAGUCACUCACUAGUGUCCAAAAACCUUGCUCAUUUCGGCACCCCCUUGCACUUGGGUCUGCUUUCCUCUCCCAGGAACUUCAUUGCAUUACCUUAGUUAAGCCUUACAAACCUAUGAGGCAUGUGUUCUCGCUCCCAUUACAGAGGCUGAAAAAGGGCAGCCAAAGAACUUGCCCAGAGUCACUUAACUGGUACAUAGUCUAAAGUCUGAGUCCAAGCAGUUCAAUCCCGCCCCUCCCUCCUAGUUACAAAAUUAUAUUGCCUCUCUUCAUUACUUAUAAUUGCCCCAAACAGUAAUUAGAAGUUUAUGGGUCUGUAAGCAUCUCAUGAGCAGAGACUGUGACUUACUUGUUUCAGCUGCCCUGGAAUAUAGUACAUAGAAU
rnacentral:lncRNA from 1 species